rnacentral:rRNA from 1 species
GAAGGGAGCUUGCUCCCGGAUGUUAGCGGCGGACGGGUGAGUAACACGUGGGUAACCUGCCUGUAAGACUGGGAUAACUCCGGGAAACCGGAGCUAAUACCGGAUAGUUCCUUGAACCGCAUGGUUCAAGGAUGAAAGACGGUUUCGGCUGUCACUUACAGAUGGACCCGCGGCGCAUUAGCUAGUUGGUGGGGUAAUGGCUCACCAAGGCGACGAUGCGUAGCCGACCUGAGAGGGUGAUCGGCCACACUGGGACUGAGACACGGCCCAGACUCCUACGGGAGGCAGCAGUAGGGAAUCUUCCGCAAUGGACGAAAGUCUGACGGAGCAACGCCGCGUGAGUGAUGAAGGUUUUCGGAUCGUAAAGCUCUGUUGUUAGGGAAGAACAAGUGCGAGAGUAACUGCUCGCACCUUGACGGUACCUAACCAGAAAGCCACGGCUAACUACGUGCCAGCAGCCGCGGUAAUACGUAGGUGGCAAGCGUUGUCCGGAAUUAUUGGGCGUAAAGGGCUCGCAGGCGGUUUCUUAAGUCUGAUGUGAAAGCCCCCGGCUCAACCGGGGAGGGUCAUUGGAAACUGGGAAACUUGAG